ensembl:lncRNA
GACAAUGGCGGUGGAGAACAUGGUCCACUCGGACUCAAUAUCUCCAGCCGAAGCUCUGCCGGAGGUAGGAGUUAAAGAUCUCUCUGACAGGAGACACAGCCAGACGUUCCCAGCAGACCCUUACAGUACGCUUGGGCCUGCCGAGUCUGUCCAGCUUCCUCCCCCACCAUCGGAUCCAACUCACCACCAGGUGGUGAUCAAAUGACAGCUCCGCCCCUCUCUUCACCUGAGUGUCCAAGACAUCAUAAAAAUUAAAAGAAAUAAACACUUGAAAUAUGUCAGUCUGUGUGGAAUGAAUGUAUACAUUAUACACGUUUCACUUUUUGAAUGGAAUUACUGAAAUAUAUCAACUUUUUGAUGAUAUUCUAAGUUUAUGAUCAGCACCUAUAUGUUUCGAUGGCCAAUCAAAUUAACGGAAGUAGGAGGGCGUAGUAGUGGAAAACGAAAUCACCCAAUCUGGCGAAGAAAACCAGGAGUGAGGGCGUGAUGAUUUUCAAUGAAAUUAAAAGGAUUGGAGUUCACUACAACCCUGCUCCUAUUUAAACUCACGCGAACGAUUACUUCGCAAUUGUGUUUUGCUGACGGUUGUAAUCAAAGUCUAAAAUGUCAGUAAAGCGUUGAGAAUGCAUUCCAGCAAUUUCUACUCUACUCGCCAAGCCAUGGAAAUGGCUAAUGAGAACGCGACAACAGUUCAAGGCAGUCCAAGUAAUUUUGUUACUAUAAAUCAAGGUAAGUGUCGACUAAGAGCUUGCUUACUGUUUGUACAUUAGCUAGCAGUACCAGCGGUAACAAGUUGUUUUGUGUUUCAGCUUUAUCGCUUGCUGGGUACCGUUGUUACAUACAGAAAAUAUUAAGCGCAUUGUAAUUAAAGUAACCCUAGUAAAACUGUAUAUAGAAAUAUUUAUACACAUACAUACCUAGAAAAUUAACCAGACUAUUGACUGUAUUUCUAACAGCUUGCUCCACGGAAGGCCCGGGGCCUGGUCUUCUCAAGCGAAAUAUAUUAAGUUGAAUGAUUAACUACAGUGCCUACUACUAUGUUAGAUUUGUGCGGUUUGUAAUUUUAUUAGACUUUUUAUCAUUUUCUAAUUGCCAGGAUUUACACCAUUUUCAUAGCGUGCCGUCGGGGACCUACACAGUACUGCUGGCAAGGAUGAAAAGCAUAGGCCACAUGAAAGUGAAUGUGAAUAUAGUAGAACAGUCGACACAACACUGAUGUGCUGGGAUUUGUGGUAAAUCAGAUUAGUCUAAAAUGUAUUGAAGAAUGGAGCGGGACUGAAUUUGAAGAUGCAGAUGCAGCUGCAGGUCGAUACUGGACACAAAGGGAGAAACAUUGUUUGUUGGACAACCUGGACAAAGCAGCAAAGAGAAUCAGCGGACACGGCGCAGCGAGCGACAGGUUUGUUUAUAAACGACUUCUAAAAGAAAAUAGCAAACUUGGAAUUACUUUUGUAGUUGUAUAAAAAAUGUGCAUAGUAUAACCAACUUGAUAUUUGGAAUCUUGCUACUCUAAUAACACUUGUCAAUGUAAAAUACAGACACUCCGACUCGUGUUACUAAUAUUUCCCUGGGACUGUGACAAAAUUAUUUGUAAGCGGUUGUACGUUUCACAGCGGUUACAAGCGGAUAUACCCAUAGGGACUCUGAUCGGCACAGCAUAGCAUUUUCUGUUCAAUGAACUGAGUGAACACAAUCCACCGUGCCAUUCGCCGUUACUGGCAAAAUCUCUAUAGGUCAAAAAAGAAGCUGUAUCUAAACAGGAUCCAGAAGAUUAGCAGGCGUUUUCUCUGGGCCAAGGAUCAUUUAAAAUGGACUGUGGCAAAGUGGAAAAGUUUUUAUUUUUUUACAAUUUCAUGGCUGCAUAGAAGAAGGAUCCGGGUAAUGAAAUGGCCAGCCUGCAGUCCAGUUUGCAAUCUUUCACCCAUAGAAAACAUUCAGCGCAUCAUAAAGAGGAAGGUGCGACAAAGAAGACCUAAGACAAUUGAGCAACUAGAAGCCUGUAUUAGACAAGAAUUGGACAACCUAUUCAUGAACUUGAGCAACUUGUCUCCUCAGUCCCCAGACGUUUGCAGUCUGUUAUAAAAAGAAGAGGGGAUGCCACACAGUGGUAAACAUGGCCUUGUCCCAACUUUUUUGAGAUGUGUUGAUGCCAUGAAAUUUAAAAUCAACUUAUUUUCCCCUUAAAGUGAUACAUUUCCCCAGUUUAAACAUUUGAUAUGUCAUCUAUGUUGUAUUCUGAAUAACAUUUUGAAAUUUGAAACUUCCACAUCAUUGCAUUCUGUUUUUAUUCACAAUUGUACAGUGUCCCAACUUUUUUGGAAUCUGGUUUGUACAUUGCUGUUUUUA